rnacentral:lncRNA from 10 species
AACACAAUGUGUGUGGUUCUCCGCUUGGUUGUCCUCAGUUCAUCCUUCCAGCAAUCCCCUGAGUUAGACAGCACUCCAUUUUACUGACAAGGGAACAAAGACUCCAGAAGAGACAGUAAAUUCUGUGAGGUCCACACAGCCAGGAAGUGAAUCUUAACCCAAAUAUGUCUGACUUGAGGGCCCAAGCAAGAUCUUAACCACUGUGCACAGAGAAGCUGGUGGCACCCACUUGCAAAUAUAGAGGCUCAGUGAGAUGCAGAGUUUGGAGAAGGCAAGUUCGUCUGUUGUUCCAAGGAAUGAUGAAACUUCACAGGUAGAAGAAAGUUAACUUGGAGGUUGCCAAAAACAGGACUCCUUCUACCUCAGCCUGGGUGGAUGAAGAACUGGACACUGCUGAGGCACUUUUGGGCUCUAGGGCACUUCCUGCAUGUGGGGCAGCCAAUACCAGGGCUGAACACUGUGAUGACUUGAUGGUCCUUCCUGUUUUAGGAGGAACUCUCUGCUCCAACCUGUCCACCUGGCAGGCCCCUCGGGGACUCCCUUCCUUCAAACAACCCUACGCAACUUGGCUCUGAUUUGCUUCUUUGUCACCCCAGUAAACAGCAUACCUCAGAGAGGGCGCAGCUGCCUCCUCUGCAUUCUCACAGCUUCCAGCCGCACAUUUGACACAGUGCUUAUCUCCCUGUGUGGGAACAUCCCUGCCUCAUGCCUGCCUGUGCCACUCCACAGCACAGUGCUGGCACAUGCGAGGUGCUCAGCCCAUGGUUACUGAGUGGCUGAUGAAGGAAUGGAUAAUAUCUAGCCAUUUUCAGUUGCAUGGAGAGACUGGGCCAGUUAUUCUUUGGCUGCAGCUGCCUCAAAAAGAGAAAUGGUCCUCUUUCCUCUUUCCUACAGUCUGGGUCAUGAUAUUAAUGUGGCCUGUGGCUUUCAACAAAUAUUUGUGGCUUCAGAGUCUCCUUGUUUGAAGGCAUUUCUGGAGGCUUUGGCUGGCACUAUAAUUCCUGAACUGACAAUUGGUGUGAGAUGGCUGGAGGCUGAAGGAAGCUGGGAUGUUGUGGUGUCUUAAUCAUAAACUGCCCGACCACCAAAGAAAUGGAUCAUUUCUGGGAGGUCUAGAAGGACAUACAAUGAGAUCCCUUAAUGCCAUGGAAGAUGCCAGGACAAUGCACAUGUCCAUGGUUCUGUGGCUGGGUCCUUCUUCUCUGAAGCUGCUGCUGUCCCAGAAGAUCAACCUGUGACAAUCCACAGCCUGCCUGUCAUUUGGAUGGCCCCUGCAAUCAGCUCUCCAGGAAGGUUUUUCUAUGUUUUUCUGACUGCUUCUGUUGUUAAAAGAUCUACAGGGUCCCACAAGAUUACUGUUCAAAUGGCUCUCCAGGGACCCUCCCUUAGCAUGGAAC